rnacentral:rRNA from 1 species
UAGGAGCUGGAAUGAAUGAGGCGACGAAAUCUAGACUAUUUAAGUUUUAAUAUAAAUUGACAAGCGGGUCAAAAGGCUCGCAUGGACCAGGGGGACGAUAAGACCCUAUAAAACUUUACUUUCAGGCCGGUGCCUAAAAGGAAGGGAGGUGUCUGAGAGUUUUACUGGGGCGGUUAUUAUAUAAACAAUUAUAUAUAAAAUAUAUUAUAUAGAUUAGUAGAACUCUCUAGAGAAAUAGAACAAGUUACUUUAGGGAUAACAGCGUGAUCCCCCCAGAGAGUCCAGAUCGGCGGGGGGGCUUACGACCUCGAUGUUGAAUUGGGAAUCCCUGUGUAAGCAAAUAUAUAUAUAGAUAGUCUGUUCGACUAUUAAACUCCC